GUGUGUGUGCGCGCGCGCGUGCGCACGCGUCUCGGUAAGGGAGUUCAGUUGCCUUCCAUAAACAGCGGUUUCCUCUUCCUCUUGCCUCCCCUGACCCUAUAUCCUCUUCGCGCGUUCCGCUGAGAGUAGGUCAGGAAGGGAUACAAAUCACCUUGCUGUGUAAUGGAGGGAGGUGGCCCGUGGAACCUGCAUGAGGGGACUCACUAUUUCUGAGAACGAAGUUACCAGAUAAGAUGCCAUUUUCAUUUUUUUCUUGAUGUUCUCACCUAACGCUUCUGUUAUCAUCAACUCUCUCCCUCUCAAGACCUGCAUCAGACAUUUUGCAUCUAGGAAUUUUCCUAAAGACCCAAAAAGAUCAACUUCGGUCAGAAACAGCCUCGAAAAAGCCCUUGUUCAUCAGAAGGCGGGAGGCAAGGACCAAAGGAAUAUCUACCGUGGGCCAGACUUUCGACGUACAGGCUGUCCCUUCCUUCAUGAAUGCCAGGAGACACGUCCACAUGGUAAUCACUGCAGGGGUACAAUUCCUUGUGACAGCUUCCUGCCCAAUGGCAGCACAGUGUUUUGGGGAUGAAACACCUUGAUCAUUGUCAACGGCACUCAUACGGGCGCUGAACGCCUCCAGGAUGAAGUUUGCUUAUGACCUGUGUGGGGUCCUGGGAAGAGGUGCUUUCUGCCCCAAGUGUUGACAAUUCAGACCAGAGAUGGGUGGCUGUUGCAAUGGAUAUCUAUAAUGUCUGUCUGCCCUUUUUUCUAAAAACAGCUCCUGAGGCUUCCUCUAGGCAAAAAAUCCUUCUUACGCUCAUGCCGUGAAAUCUCAGUACAGCUAAACUCACCCUUGGCUUUCGAUGUCAGAGUAAUCUAUCUGCCAGUCUGUAGCAUCUGCUUUUCCAGACUUCAGGGAAAUAAGCAAGACGCAGAAUCCUUCAACGACAGGGCUUUGCCGGGCGGGGUGACUGCUGGACGAUCCGUGCCCUUGCCCUAGGUUUCCAGGCCGUUACAUUUCCUCACUGAGGGAGAACAUGCCUGAGGUUGAAGUCAACACAGGAAUACGAAGGUGAGCCAGGGUGAGAGAGCGAUUCCAGGAAACUUGCUCUGAGACCCUGAUUCAUCACCACCACGGAGUAAAAUCUGCUCUUUCCAACGUUCUUUGAGAUUUUAGGAAAGCAUGCCUGUCUCUGUGUUAUCAGAUCUGGUUUCGUAUUCCACCACACAGACUCUCUCGCCAGCCGACCAGACCGUCCCGCCAGUGAUGUUAUUAAUGACCCCAGCCUAUAUGGGGCGUGCUCACCAUUGAGACCGACCAGGUGUUACCCCAUGCACCUGACUGAUCGUACCUGCCCUUUUGUCCGCAUCCACCAGCCAGGCCUGAACCGCUCACCACCUACCUAGCCUGACUCCAGAAAGUGUAGCCCAAACACAGUAAACUAAUUCCGACAUUUUA